GAAUAUGGGGGGACCAUCCUCCAAGGCUAAAUACUCCUGACUGACCGAUAGUGAACCAGUACCGUGAGGGAAAGGCGAAAAGAACCCCGGCGAGGGGAGUGAAAAAGAACCUGAAACCGUGUACGUACAAGCAGUGGGAGCCCCACCACUAAGCCAGUGGUGAACUCCACAUCCGCAUCCUUUGCUGAGGAUACGGUUAACGGAGCGAAAGCGACGUUCAACCGCAAAACAAGCAGAGGGGGCUUAGUGGUGGGGUGACUGCGUACCUUUUGUAUAAUGGGUCAGCGACUUAUAUUCUGUAGCAAGGUUAACCGUAUAGGGGAGCCGGAGGGAAACCGAGUCUUAACCGGGCGUUAAGUUGCAGGGUAUAGACCCGAAACCCGGUGAUCUAGCCAUGGGCAGGUUGAAGGUUGGGUAACACUAACUGGAGGACCGAACCGACUAAUGUUGAAAAAUUAGCGGAU
rnacentral:rRNA from 1 species